AGAUCAUUGCAGAGUCAUGAAUCUGCUCAAGAGGCAGUCCUAAAUUCCAAAGGGACAUGGGAAUCUCUGAAUAGCAGCAGCUGUUGCCUCUGACUCAGCCUAUCCAAAAAGUACUAAUUUGGAAGUUUGGCCAAGGCUGAUCUAGUAAUGGCACGCACACAGGAGAUCACUGUGCGCUAAAUGCUGUUCCACUUUCAUCUGUGUGGAAACUGAACUGGGAAGCUCAGAGCCCUGGGUUACUUUAAGCUUCCCUCUGAGCUGGCCUGACAGAGGCUCAAGAACCUUGGAGGCACACAACUUCAGCUUCUACCUACCGCCACAGAGCCAGCCAAAACACAUCACUUUGAGAUUAUGGAUCCUUACACCAGAGGCUGACAUUUUCAGGAAGCAGCUCAGCCUCAGGAAGGAACCCCUCCCAUGGAGAAAGCUACUCCAAAAGGACAGAGAGCAGUCAACUUCCCUGGCAAAAGCAACUGGAACUAGCUGCUGUGGGGAGAUCAGAGACCAGACUGGGCACAAGUUUCAUCCUGCCACCACAUGCUAUGUAACA